UACGUAGGGUCCGAGCGUUAUCCGGAAUUACUGGGCGUAAAGAGUUCUGUAGGCGGAUUGUCAAGUUUAGGUUGAAACUCCAAGGCUCAACCUCGGAUUUGGCCUAAAUACUGAUAAUCUAGAGACUCGUAGGGACUGGGGGGAACAGGUGGUGGAGCAGUGAAAUGCGUUGAUAUCACCUGGAACACCAAAGGCGAAGGCACCUGGUUGGGCGAGUUCUGACGCUGAGAGACGAAAGCGUGGGGAGCAAAACGG
rnacentral:rRNA from 1 species